AGGAAAUAGAUACCCUGGUAGUCCAUGCUGUAAACGAUGGAUGCUAGCUGUGAUGCGUAUCGACCCGCGUCGUAGCGAAGCUAACGCGUUAAGCAUCCCGCCUGUGGAGUACGGCCGCAAGGCUAAAACAUAAAGGAAUUGACGGGGACCCGCACAAGCGGUGGAGCGUGUUGUUUAAUUCGACGGUAAGCGAAGAACCUUACCCAGGUUUGACAUCCUUGGAAGUUCUGCGAAAGCAGAGUGUGCCUUCGGGAACCAAGUGACAGGUGAUGCAUGGCCGUCUUCAGCUCGUGUCGUGAGACGUUAGGUUAAGUCCUUCAACGAGCGCAACCCUUAUAGUUAGUUGUAUUUUCUAGCUAGACUGCCUGGUAACAGGGAGGAAGGAGGGGACGAUGUCAGGUCAGUAUCUCCCUUAUAUCUGGGGCUACAAACACGCUACAAUGGCGGUACAAAGGGAAGCCAACCGCGAGGGGAGCAAAUCCCAUCAAAGCCGGUCUCAGUUCGGAUUGUAGGCUGAAACUCGCCUGCAUGAAG
rnacentral:rRNA from 1 species